GUCCGUUUAGUGAAGACGAUGUAUAAUCAGAGUUGUCAAUCUGUUUUAAAAUCUGAAGUUAGAUAAAUCAAAUUUGAGACCACAAGCUGAUGCAAAACAUUUAGAAAAAACUGUACAUCCCCUGAAAAUUUCAGAAGCAUAAGCACAAAUAGUUUAAGAACUAUCCAAUUGUGACAACUUGUUAGUUUAAAAAAAUCCAAUUACCAAGAUUUUUGUCCCAGAGUAGUUGCAGAAAAUUACACAAUUAGAGCAAUUUUUCUCAGCUGCUCUGCUACAGAAAACGAAAAUACCCAUCUCAACUAAAAGUUGAAGAGAGACAGCAGUGAAAAGAGAAAGCAAGAGCUGGAAGAAGAAUAAAGAACAGAGCAAAAGGCUCCACGCUCCCCAACAACACAUCUAGGAAGCUCUUGUGUAAGCCCAUGUGAGAAGGAUGGAUGGGAGAAGGCUGGGAAGUAUCUUCUGGUCACCUGCGAAUGCCUGCGAUGUAAUUGGUGCUUCUAACUGAUGGAUGUACUGAAUACCACAGAAGUGAGAAUAUGCACAUGAUGAUGAUCUGUUGUAUUACAGACGAUGUUAACUUUUUUCACUCGGUGAAGAUACUAUCUGCCAGAUCUUUCUGCUGUAAAAUCAAUUAAUAAGAGUUUCAUGAGGUGUCACUUUGAAACUACGUAAAUAUCCUAUUCCUCCUCAAUUUUUCACUCACUAGUUUAAGCAUUCAUUGAUGAUUCCUGCCUAAAUCAAUUGUUAAUAUGAAUAUUGCCAAAUAAUUUUUCUAAUUCCAUUAUUCCUUCUACAUUUAUUAGUUGACUAUCUACUAUAAAGUAGACUUUCUUUUUACCCUAUUUACUUAUGUAUUUGUUUAAAUUUGUAUAGAUCCAUGGAUUCUUAUUUUAUUCGAUGUGUUAUAAUCUAUUACUAUCAUUAUUUAUUUUAAUGUCAAUUUUUCCCAGAUUUGGCUAGUGGGAGCCCUUUCAGUUUAGCUCCUAUAUCCUUUUAACUUGUCCCUAUCAUUUUUUGAGAACUUCCUUACGUUCUGGCACAAGAUGUCCUAGGUUUAUCUGUACUUCCCUUGUUCUAACCCUGGAAUCAGCCAUUGCUCCAAGGACACCUGGUUCCUUUACAUGGAAGAUGGUAUUUAAAAACCAAGAUCUGGGGGCGAGGUAUGUUCAUUGCUAUGGAGGUAUUGCUUCUAGGCCCUCUCAACAGAAAGCUAGAAAAUAGAUGUACGUACAUACAGUCUCACAUAGACACACACAUCUAUAGUUACUUCUAUAUUUAUCUACU
rnacentral:lncRNA from 1 species